rnacentral:lncRNA from 1 species
GUCACUUUUAAGAUAGCAUGUAAUUUUUCUGUUCCCAGAGUUUUUUCCUAUAAUAUGCAAUCAAAGGUUCAAGGCACUUUAUGUAAACUAAGGUUUUAAAUAAUAUUCACUAGAGUUCUUAAGAAUAAAGUAUUAUCUAAUACUAGUGUGUGUUAAGUCCACUAUAUGGAAUUUUCUGAAAGCUUAAACUUUGUAAUUUACAGAAACUUAAGUAAUAGAUUUUAAAAAUAAGAAAGGAUGAGUUCAGAGAUGGAGUCAUGGGUGAUCUCGUAAAUUGUAUUUUCUUUUUUUCCUUGCAGGGUUUUCUUUCACUAUUACAUGUUCAUGUUUUCCAGACUCCACUAAUGCUAGUAUUAAGCAUUGGGUCAUGUUAUCUAUAAUAGCAGUACAAAGUUCAUUUGAAAAAAACUGUCCUCUUUAUUUUCUCCCAACUAUUGUCUCUGGGACAGUGUCUAAAUUUUAGUUACUGAAUGUAGUUUAAUCAGAAACUACUCUAAAUAGAAAAGUUUUUGCAAUUUCCACAAAUUAGGAAAGAUGUAAAUUAACCUUCAGGUAACUAGUGAACAUUUUUUGUUAUGUGGGAUAUUUAGGCACCGUUUGUAUAAAUUUGUAUCUUUUUAACUAUUGUUAGUAUUUAUGCUAUUAACUUUAUGUGAUAUUGUUAAAAUCAGCAUAGUAGGCAUAUAGUCUCUUUUAAAAAAAAUUGAUUUGCCUAUGGAAUGGUUUUCAAAAGGACCAAAAAAAAACUUAAACAGACAAGCAAAGGAAAUUUAACUCUAAAACUUUCUAAUUAAAUAUAUAGAUAAGUGUGUGGUAUUGGUAUUGGUAUUGUUUUAGUUUUAAUUUUAUAUAUGAGCUUUUUUAAACUUUAUUUCUCUGCAGAACUACUUUCAAGUGUGUUUUCAUUUGAUUUAUAAACAGAAACUUAUCUAAAAGAAAAAGUUAUUUUGUGUUAAUGAUUAUAUGAUAGUUCUCAGACUUUUAUAUUUGAAAAGACUAUGAAUGAGUAAUUUAUUAAGCUGUUUGCCUGACAUGACUAAUAUGAUUGGAACAUAUGAUAUAAUUUAUUUUUACUAUAAUGUAGAGAGGUAUCUUUAUCCCAAACAGAUUUAUAAUGGACUCCUUCACUAAUUUUGUAAAUUUAGGAAGUCUGGAGUAUGCUCAGAUAUUUGGGUGAUAAAUUUUUGACGGUGUAAAUAUAUAAAAAUGGUAUUUUUCUUACAAUAGCAUUUAUGUUGCUUCAAAGUAAGACCAUUUCUUAAGUAUGUCUUUAAAUAAGUACAUAUAUGAUACAAAUAGGUCAAAUGAUUGUUGAAGGAUUUAUUUUUUAUCUUAUGCUUCUCUCCCCUUUCCCUUUUAAUAGUUGUCAGUGGUGGUCGUUAGCCAUAUACUACAGGAGAACUUAUGGCAGAGUGAUCCAGGUGGUCACUGUUUUCUGAUGUUUUAUCUGGUAGAGAAAAGCAAUGAUAACUCUGAGAUUAUGCUGUAAUUCUUAAUAUGUCUUGAACAUUGUUUUGAAUGUUUGUUUUCAAUUUACUACUUAAAAAAAUGGAUGACAUUUUUAAAAUCCUUUAGUCUUUUUAAGUGAGUAUGUUCCCCACAAAUGUUAGUACAAGAAGAGGACAGAAAGUUCAUGGGGAUUAGAUUAGAUUGUAUCAGUGGGUAUAAUUGUUUUGAUGUAAAACAUGUUGAGUAAAUUCAUUGAUGUGGGAUUAUAACGUAGCUUCCUUUACUGUAGAAUCAAGAACAAUAAAUUAUUAGGAGAGGCAUAUCCAUAUCUUUAUUUGGUUUCACUUGUUGCUGGGAAUACAUUAGGUAGCUAUAAGUAAGAUAUGCAGUUUUCACACUGAUGGUCAUUUUUAGUGAUCACAUUUUAUAUUUUAGUUACAAAUUUUAUAAGGUGAGAACACAUGCCCAAGCUGUAAGGAGGGAAGGAUUUUUAGACACAAAAUCAUUGUUAAGAAAGUCCAAGUGUACUAACCUUGAAAACUUCUGCCAAUUAUAAUCAUUUUGCAUCUUCUAGCACUGUGCCAGUUUUCAAUAUCCUCUAGCCACAAAUACAUUAGUAUUUGUCCAACUAGGAAUUGUCAUAUUUGGGUUAGAAACUGUGAUCACUUACAGUUUUAAAUCAAGAAUGGACAAGCUGACACCUAUCUUUAUCUCCCUUUUUCUGUAUCAUUUUUUAUAUAUGCUUAUAUUAUUUUAGUAGCAUUAUACAUGCUGAUUAUAUUGUUUUUGUAGUAGUAUAUGCUUUGUUCUAUAUAUGGCUAGUUCUGUAACUGAUGAAAAACUACUAGAAUGAAUGUUUGCACCUGAGAAGUUAGAUUUGUAGUGAGAGGCAUGAAGUGGGGAGAACAUUUGUGUAGAUUUAUUAAUUUUUCUUCUAA